CCUACGGGAGACAGCAGUGAGGAAUAUUGGUCAAUGGCCGAGAGGCUGAACCAGCCAAGUCGCGUGAGGGAAGACGGCCCUACGGGUUGUAAACCUCUUUUGUCGGGGAGCAAAGAGAGUCACGUGUGGCUCAUUGCGAGUACCCGAAGAAAAAGCAUCGGCUAACUCCGUGCCAGCAGCCGCGGUAAUACGGAGGAUGCGAGCGUUAUCCGGAUUUAUUGGGUUUAAAGGGUGCGCAGGCGGAGGUGCAAGUCAGCGGUAAAAUUGCGGGGCUCAACCCCGUACUGCCGUUGAAACUGGAGUCCUUGAGUGCGCGAGAAGUAUGCGGAAUGCGUGGUGUAGCGGUGAAAUGCAUAGAUAUCACGCAGAACUCCGAUUGCGAAGGCAGCAUACCGGCGCGCAACUGACGCUCAUGCACGAAAGCGUGGGUAUCGAACAGGAUUAGAUACCCGAGUAGUC
rnacentral:rRNA from 1 species